rnacentral:rRNA from 1 species
GAUGAACGCUGGCGGCGUGCCUAAUACAUGCAAGUCGAGCGAACGGACGAGAAGCUUGCUUCUCUGAUGUUAGCGGCGGACGGGUGAGUAACACGUGGAUAACCUACCUAUAAGACUGGGAUAACUUCGGGAAACCGGAGCUAAUACCGGAUAAUAUUUUGAACCGCAUGGUUCAAAAGUGAAAGACGGUCUUGCUGUCACUUAUAGAUGGAUCCGCGCUGCAUUAGCUAGUUGGUAAGGUAACGGCUUACCAAGGCAACGAUGCAUAGCCGACCUGAGAGAGUGAUCGGCCACACUGGAACUGAGACACGGUCCAGACUCCUACGAGAGGCAGCAGUAGGGAAUCUUCCGCGAUGGGCGAAAGCCUGACGGAGCAACGCCGCGUGAGUGAUGAAGGUCUUCGGAUCGUAAAACUCUGUUAUUAGGGAAGAACAUAUGUGUAAGUAACUGUGCACAUCUUGACGGUACCUAAUCAGAAAGCCACGGCUAACUACGUG